CCUACGUGUGGCAGCAGUGAGGAAUAUUGGUCAAUGGCCGAGAGGCUGAACCAGCCAAGUCGCGUGAGGGAAGACGGCCCUACGGGUUGUAAACCUCUUUUGUCGGGGAGCAAAGCGAACCACGUGUGGUUCAUUGAGAGUACCCGAAGAAAAAGCAUCGGCUAACUCCGUGCAAGCAGCCGCGGUAAUACGGAGGAUGCGAGCGUUGUCCGGAUUUAUUGGGUUUAAGGGGUGCGCAGGGGGAGGUGCAAGUCAGCGGUCAAAUUGCGGGGCUCAACCCCGUACUGCCGUUGAAACUGCAUACCUUGAGUGCGCGAGAAGUAUGCGGAAUGCGUGGUGUAGCGGUGAAAUGCAUAGAUAUCAGGAGGAACACCGGUGGCGAAGGCGGCCUGCUGGACUGCGACUGACGUUGAGGCCCGAAAGCGUGGGGAGCAAACAGGAUUAGAUACCCCAGUAGUC
rnacentral:rRNA from 1 species